AGAGUUUGAUCCUGGCUCAGAGUGAACGCUGGCGGCAGGCCUAACACAUGCAAGUCGAGCGGCAGCGCGGGGCAACCUGGCGGCGAGCGGCGGACGGGUGAGGAAUGCAUCGGAAUCUACCCUGUCGUGGGGGAUAACGUAGGGAAACUUACGCUAAUACCGCAUACGACCGAGAGGUGAAAGUGGGGGACCUUCGGGCCUCACGCGAUUGGAUGAGCCGAUGCCGGAUUAGCUAGUUGGUGGGGUAAAGGCCCACCAAGGCGACGAUCCGUAGCUGGUCUGAGAGGAUGAUCAGCCACAUUGGGACUGAGACACGGCCCAAACUCCUACGGGAGGCAGCAGUGGGGAAUAUUGGACAAUGGGCGCAAGCCUGAUCCAGCCAUGCCGCGUGUGUGAAGAAGGCCUUCGGGUUGUAAAGCACUUUUGUUCGGGAAGAAAUCGUGCGGAUUAAUACUUCGUACGGAUGACGGUACCGAAAGAAUAAGCACCGGCUAACUCCGUGCCAGCAGCCGCGGUAAUAC
rnacentral:rRNA from 1 species